rnacentral:rRNA from 1 species
AUUGAACGCUGGCGGCAGGCCUAACACAUGCAAGUCGCACGAGUGGCGGACGGGUGAGUACUGUCUGGGAAACUGCCCGAUGGAGGGGUCUAACUACUGGAAACUGUAGCUAAUACCGCAUACCAUCGGAUGUGCCCCGAUGGGAUGAGCUAGUAGGUGGGGUAACGGCUCACCUAGGCGACGCUCCCUAGCUGGUCUGAGAGGAUGACCAGCCACACUGGAACUGAGACACGGUCCAGACGCCUACGGGAGGCAGCAGGGGGGAAUAUUGCACAAUGGGGGCAAGCCUGAUGCAGCCAUGCCGCGUGUAUGAAGAAGGCCUUCGGGUUGUAAAGUACUUUCAGCGAGGAGGCGUUACUCGCAGAAGAAGCACCGGCUAACUCCGUGCCAGCAGCCGCGGUAAUUC